GUUCGGACUGCAGCCUGCAACCCGGCUGCACGAAGCCGGAAUCGCUAGUAAUCGCAGAUCAGAAUGCUGCGGUGAAUACGUUCCCGGGUCUUGUACACACCGCCCGUCACACCAUGGGAGCCAGAAAUGCCCGAAGUCAGUGGCCCAACCGCAAGGAGGCAGCAGUCGAAGGUGGGGCCGAUGAUUAGGGUGAAGUCGUAACAAGGUAUC
rnacentral:rRNA from 1 species